CGCUAUGAAAAUGGAAUGAUAAUUGUUUUAAACUUUUACAAACCAAACUUCAAAGUUGAGAUUGAAUUGCCAAAGAGAUUGGAUUAGGGUUUGAAAUUACUUGGUUUACAAUUGAGAUUGCUUGAACAGACGUCAUGAUUUGUCUGAAAGAUUUACAGUUGUAAAACAAAUACUCUUAACAUUUUGAAUCUCAUUUUCUUUUCCCAGCUACCAAUUUAUUGUUAUGCUGUACAUUUUGAAUCUCAUUUUCUUUUCGCAGCUACCAAAUUGUUUUUAU
rnacentral:lncRNA from 1 species